GUGCCAGCAGCCGCGGUAAUACAGAGGUCCCAAGCGUUGUUCGGAUUUAUUGGGCGUAAAGGGCGCGUAGGCGGAGGUGCCAGUCAAUUGUGAAAUCCCGGAGCUCAACUCCGGAACUGCAGUUGAAACUACAUCUCUCGAGGGUAGGCGGAGAAAACGGAAUUCCACAAGUAGCGGUGAAAUGCGUAGAUAUGUGGAAGAACACCAGUGGCGAAGGCGGUUUUCUAGCUUAUACCUGACGCUGAGGCGCGAAAGCAAGGGGAGCAAACAGGAUUAGAUACCCUGGUAGUCC
rnacentral:rRNA from 1 species